UACAGGAAAGAAGGCUUAUCAGAGUUUCUUCCUAAACCUCUUGAAAAUAACAGAAUAUUUUAAUCAGAGACUUCCCCUGGGCCACGGGCCACGAUGGAUGUGGAUGUGCACCUCGAUACUCCUGAGGGUCAGGAGAGCGCAAGCAACAGUGGCAAGGGAAGCAGCGGCACAGGAAACCAGCAAGAAUCUUGCACUGAAUGAAGGAUGCUCAAUAACAGUUGGCUGAGUGAAGGCUGAGUCUCUGUUCAACAAAUAUUUGGUGAGAUGUAAUAGAAGGAGCAACGUAUGAGGUGUCAGAUGAAAUGGGUUCUGGUCUUGCCUCUGCCACUUGCUAGCUCCAUUGCUUAGCCAAAUCAUUUCAUUUUUAUGAUCCUCAGUUUUCUCACCUUUAAAAUGAAGAUACUACUGACCACCCCACAGUACAGAAUCACACGCAUUGAAUCUCACUAAAGUGAUUUAAAAUGGUGUGUACUCAACACAUGUUUAUGCCUUUUCUCACAUAAUGAAAAUCUUCAUCAUAGGAAAUUUAGAGAAAACAAAGUUCAAAGAAAAGAAUAGAAAUCAUGUAUAAUAACACCACUCAAAAGAACUGUUAAAAUUUUGGGUAUUUCCCUUACUGUGUUUUUCUG
rnacentral:lncRNA from 1 species